CGAGCCUAGAGUGGGUGAUAUAGGUUUUAUUAAGAUGUUUAUUUUUUCUUUGUUCUAGUCUGUAGACACUUUUUUUCCUAGUAAACUUACUCUCUUUUUACGUGUAGCAAGCAACAGUAUAGAAAACUAAAAGCUCAAGUUGUCUAAAUGAUAAUUUAUAGCAGAGGUUCCCAAACUUUUUAUUGUACGACCCAUUUUGGGAAAUUUUUAAAAUUUGGCGACCCACAAUAUCAAUGAAUGACCUUUUUUUUGCUGACAUUUAUCACCUCGAUUCAUCCAUAUGUAAUGUACAAAAACAAUCAUAUAAGAUAAGCCUUGCAUAUCUGUGGACUCGUCUAGUUUUAAUGAAAACCAUGUACUCAAAUUAACUCUUUCGAUCAGUUUAUAUUCUACCCAUUCAGAAAUUUCAUCGAUUCUACGGGGAACUGUAUUAUUUGAAAGCGAUAACUUUUCAACUUCUUUUAAACUUUUUUGAUCAAACAUGAUCCCGACUGCGUCAUUUAUUGAUGGUAAAAUUAAAUACUCACCAAUUGUGUUAGUUACCAGUUACCAGUUUGAGCAAUUUAUAAGUAAAGUUAUUUUAUAUGAGGCGUACGUAGCUUUUUGGUUAAUUGCAGUAAAAUUAAAAAUAUUAUUUUUUGAUGUUUUCUAGAGAUUCUAGUUUUCUUCCAUAAAAAUCGAGUGGUUUAUUCUUCAUUUCUGGGUGGUUCGUAUCUAUAUGUCGAUGUAGUUUGUUUGGUCGCAUAAUCUCAUUUGCAAGUAUACAUCCUCAAAUAACACAUUGUGGACGUGGGUGUUCGUUUCAAUUCCACGAAAAUCCAAUUCGCAAAUAUUCAGAACAAUAUUUUCUUAAAGAAUUUUUUUGUUUCGACUCAGAACUUGUUGAAGGUUCAUCGUAAUUAAAUUUUCUUUUUUUAACUGUUGACGCAGAUAUUGUUUCUGUUUUUUCUUAACUUUGAGUCAUUGACUAUUUGUUUAACCAUUUGCCCAUAG